rnacentral:rRNA from 1 species
AUUGAACGCUGGCGGCAGGCUUAACACAUGCAAGUCGAGCGAGCGGCGGGCGGGCGGGUAAUGUAUGGGGACUGCCCGGUCCAGGGCGCUAACUACUGGAAACGGUAGCUAAUACCGCAUCCUAUCGGAUAAGCCAUAUGUGAUUAGCUAGUCGUUGAGGUACUGGCUCACCUAGGCGACGCUCGCUAGCUGGUCUGAGAGGAUGAUCAGCCACACUGGGACUGAGACACGGACCAAACUCCUACGGAGGCAGCAGUGGGGAAUAUUGGACAAUGGGCGCAAGCCUGAUGCAGCCAUGCAGCGUGUAUGAAGAAGGCCUUAGGGUUGUAAAGUACUUUCAGUCGGGAGGCGUUACCGACAGAAUAAGCACCGGCUAACUCCGUGCCAGCAGCCGCGGUAAUAC